AUAGAUCAGGAUGAAUAGAUAAUUAUCAGCCCAUAAAACAAAGCACUAAAAACCAUUAUGUGCCUUUAGACAGACAUUCAUAUGUGUCCAGACUGGCAUGGAGGAACAGAUUGUGUGCCAAAUAGCAGGGGAGAUGUAAUUGAUUUAGGAUCGGCUGUUAAAAGUGACGUGAGCUGAGUGCAGUCGAUGUGAUGUGAAAUAAUGUGUUUGAACUGAGGCACUGGCUUGAGUCAAAUUACAGGCCAGUGGAGGGAGGGAACAAAACCUGAUGGCUUGAUUCUACUCCAUGCAGUGUGUGUCACACUCUGCAUUCACAUACACAGACACACCUGUGGCUUUUUCAGCUGAUUGUAUUGCAUACUAACUAAUUUCCUUCUCGGCUGGAGCAGUCUGUGAUGCUGAGCAUUUCUAAUUUGAUCUUCAGAAGAACACUUUUACCAAAUGUACCAAUGUGAAUGAUCUGAUUGCCUCGAGUUGUUAAUGCUCCUGCUUUAGUUCUGAGGAUUUUUGUUUGUCCACAGGAAACAAGAUGGCAGAAUCCCGCGAAUAUCUGACCCGUUAGAACGUCCUGGUCUGGUCAAGUUCUUUCCAUCAUCACCUGCUCCGACUCUUCUAAAGACAUCAGAUAUAUUUGCAAUGAUAGAGCGAAUGCAGGUGAGAAGUCCACAUUUUUAUCUGGUUUUGAGUUUGUUGCUUUUCCUGCAAUCUCUCACUUUUUAUGACCUCUGACCUUUCUUAAUCUGCAAUAUGGUGACACCUUACCAGUCUUUGCCUAUUACUGUCAUCUGUCAUCUAUAAUUAAGGUUCUCUCUUAAUACGUCACUCAUUCACUUUAAAAUGUAUAUAUGUAGCUUGAGCUCUUGUCAUUCUUGAAAACAGUGUUAGAAAUAGUCUAUGCAAGUACGCAAACACGUGGUCCGUACAUUUUAAUGUCCGUUCAACCUAGUGAUCCAUCAUAAUUUGAACACGAAGAGCAUUUAAUGCUUCUGACCAUUUUAAAUUAAACUCUUAUGAAGUAGUAGUUUUUAAAAAUAAAUAUGUAUUUCUUACUAGUUUUGUUUGCAUUUUCCAAACAUUCUUUCCAAAACUGACAAGUUUGUUUUUUUUUUUUUUUUUUACUAUUUAAGCAAGAUAAAGGCUGUAACAAACCUCAAGUGUUUUUUUUUUUUUUUUUUUACUACAUUUAAGCAAGAUAAAGGCUGUAACAAACCUAAAGGGGGUGAUUUAAUUAUAUAUUAAUUUAUAUUAAAUACAUUUUAAGUAAAUUUAUGCCAAUGUCCGUUAUUGCUUUAGAAGCUUAAAUACUUGCAUAGAAUAUGUUUCAGGCCUAAUUGUCUCUAUGUGUAAUGUCUGUAUUUAAAUUGUUGUAUUUUAAAUUGUAUUAAAUUGUUGUAAUUUAAAUUUUACAUUUUUUGAGAAUUAUCAAAUGUAUUUAUUAUUUCAAGUUAUUAACAAAUGCUGAAUUUCUGGUAUUUACUGUUCUAAUGUAUAUGAAUUACAUAAUUUAAUUUGAUUUAUAUUUUUAAAUGAACUACUUAUUGAACAUCCUC
rnacentral:lncRNA from 1 species